rnacentral:rRNA from 1 species
GAUGAACGCUGGCGGCGUGCCUAAUACAUGCAAGUCGAGCGAACGGACGAGAAGCUUGCUUCUCUGAUGUUAGCGGCGGACGGGUGAGUAACACGUGGAUAACCUACCUAUAAGACUGGGAUAACUUCGGGAAACCGGAGCUAAUACCGGAUGAUAUUUUGAACCGCAUGGUUCAAAAGUGAAAGACGGUCUUGCUGUCACUUAUAGAUGGAUCCGCGCUGCAUUAGCUAGUUGGUAAGGUAACGGCUUACCAAGGCAACGAUGCAUAGCCGACCUGAGAGGGUGAUCGGCCACACUGGAACUGAGACACGGUCCAGACUCCUACGGGAGGCAGCAGUAGGGAAUCUUCCGCAAUGGGCGAAAGCCUGACGGAGCAACGCCGCGUGAGUAAUGAAGGUCUUCGGAUCGUAAAACUCUGUUAUUAGGGAAGAACAUAUGUGUAAGUAACUGUGCACAUCUUGACGGUACCUAAUCAGAAAGCCACGGCUAACUACGUG